CCGAAAUAGAAAAAAAAAAAAGAAUGUUGUUAAUAACAAAAAUGUUGUGCACAAAGCAAGGCGGCGCAGUCAUGAUCCGCCACCAAGGCCAAGGCCGGCGGUGGAUGGUCGGCAAAGCCGCCAAUCGCGCCGCCGUGCACGGCUCUAAGCUUCCAGUCCCCGAUAUCAUCCCAAGGAAGGAAGUGGAAAAUGAAAUAAAUGUAGCCAUGGAAGAAAAAGGAAGAAAAAGAAUGGAGAUAGAAAAUGCAGUGGAUUCCCAAAUCAAGAACUGGAAAGUUCUCUACCUUGAAGACAUUGUCUGCUCCAAGUAAUAAAAAUUAACUACUUACUAACUGGAAUUACACAUUUUACUGUGUGCAAAUAAAUCUUCACUUUUGUAAUAACAUCAUCAAUCUUUUGCUAUGGUCAAUGCUUUGAAUGAAGACCACAUCAGAAGUAGGUUGUGGGUUGUGACAUA